rnacentral:ncRNA from 2 species
AUGAAACGAUGUCUUUGCGGUGCCUCGGGCUCAAAAGGGAAGUCGGUGCGAUGCCGACGCGUUUGGCCGGCGCUGUGAGCGGGGAUGAAACCCGGCGGCGACCACUGUGCUCUCUCAUCUCGUGCGCAGGGGGAGAACGGGAAGGGGCCGGGAAGUAAGUCGAUCCGCGAGCCAGAAGACCUGCCGUGAAGACUUGGUGCGG